UACGAAGGGGGCUAGCGUUGCUCGGAAUCACUGGGCGUAAAGCGCACGUAGGCGGAUCUUUAAGUCAGGGGUGAAAUCCCAAGGCUCAACCUUGGAACUGCCUUUGAUACUGGGGAUCUCGAGUCCGGAAGAGGUUGGUGGAACUGCGAGUGUAGAGGUAGAAAUUCGUAGAUAUUCGCAAGAACACCAGUGGCGAAGGCGGCCAACUGGUCCGGUACUGGACGCUGAGGUGCGAAAGCG
rnacentral:rRNA from 1 species